rnacentral:lncRNA from 1 species
AAAAGCACGUAUUUCAAAUUUUGGUCUGUCGACAGAUCCAUUUUUUGGCGGAAAAAAAAAUUAAUUCCUCUAUUCAUUACGUAAAAUAAAUAACAGAAUUAAACAAACUUUUAAUUCCUCUCUGUUUUUACAACUGAAAAAAAUUUAUGCUUAUUCAAAUUUUUUGCCUACCGGAGAAUAUCGCCUUAUCUCUCUCUCUAUAUAUAUAUUAUCUCUAUUCUAUCUACUAAUAUUUUAUUAUUAUAUUAACUAUUUAAUUUUGAUACUUUUAGUUUAAAAUAUUUAUUUAAAUUUUAAAUUUAUUAGAAUUAUAAAAUGUAUAAUGUAUAUCUAUAUUUAAUGUAUAUCUAUAUCUACACUAUAUAUAAAUUUAUCAGAAAAAUGUUUAAUGUAUAUCUAUAACUAAACUAUAUAUAAAUUUUCUAAAAUAAAAAAAAAAACUAUAUAAUUAUUGUUGACAAAAUAUGGUAGGUAUUUUCUAAUAGUAUAUAAUAAAUAAAUUUACUUUUAAAAAAAUUAUAAAUUUUUUAAUAAAUAUGGUGUACAAUUUCAUAUUAAUUUAAAAUAAUUAUUAAAUAA